rnacentral:rRNA from 1 species
CAGGUCUUGACAUCCCGNUGACCGCUAUGGAGANAUAGCUUUCCCUUUGGGGACAGCGUGACAGGUGGUGCAUGGUUGUCGUCAGCUCGUGUCGUGAGAUGUUGGGUUAAGUCCCGUAACGAGCGCAACCCUUGACAUUAGUUGCCAGCAUUCAGUUGGGCACUUUAAGGGGACUGCCGGUGACAAACCGGAGGAAGGUGGGGAUGACGUCAAAUCAUCAUGCCCCUUAUGACCUGGGCUACACACGUGCUACAAUGGAUGGUACAACGGGCAGCGAAGCGGUGAGGUGGAGCAAAUCCCUUAAAGCCAUUCUCAGUUCGGAUUGUAGGCUGCAACUCGCCUACAUGAAGCNGGAAUCGCUAGUAAUCG